CAUUACCGAGUUACAACUCCCAAACCCCUGUGAACAUACCAAUUGUUGCCUCGGCGGAUCAGCCCGCUCCCGGUAAAACGGGACGGCCCGCCAGAGGACCCCUAAACUCUGUUUCUAUAUGUAACUUCUGAGUAAAACCAUAAAUAAAUCAAAACUUUCAACAACGGAUCUCUUGGUUCUGGCAUCGAUGAAGAACGCAGCAAAAUGCGAUAAGUAAUGUGAAUUGCAGAAUUCAGUGAAUCAUCGAAUCUUUGAACGCACAUUGCGCCCGCCAGUAUUCUGGCGGGCAUGCCUGUUCGAGCGUCAUUUCAACCCUCAAGCCCCCGGGUUUGGUGUUGGGGAUCGGCGAGCCCUUGCGGCAAGCCGGCCCCGAAAUCUAGUGGCGGUCUCGCUGCAGCUUCCAUUGCGUAGUAGUAAAACCCUCGCAACUGGUACGCGGCGCGGCCAAGCCGUUAAACCCCCAACUUCUGAAUGUUGACCUCGGAUCAGGUAGGAAUACCCGC
rnacentral:rRNA from 1 species